UACGGCUGCCCCACCCUUCAAACCGAAACGCAUUACUGCUUCACGGCCGAAAUAGGCAGGGUGGUGGUACAUGCCCGUGCGGACUCACAAGAGGUCUAACCACCAGUCAUAUUCAACAUUCAGUCUGUGCCUCUCCCAAAGUGCUCCCUAUUUAUUGGGCCGCGUUGUCUUUCGCAUUCACUCCCUCCCAAAAGGUAUUUUAGAGCCCUCCCGCCUCAAUCACUUUACGAUCGAUAUUGCUGGUCAAUUUCCACUUCAAUUAACCGGUUUUUUAUUUGUUGAUCCGGUACUAAGUUACUGACCCUGUUUCUUUGGCGUACAUCAUUCCUGGUUCUAUCCAAACAGACUUGUGACGACAAACGCGUUUCCAUAGCACGUUGGAGAGUCUACGGUCACAGACCCAAGUUUCACUCAUUUGUACACUACGACAGUUUAAAAAAAUUAUCUCUCAUAUAUUUGUUGUUGUUACGUGUUUUUAUUGCUUGCAUCUUGAUUUCGUUCAUCCACGAAAGCUUGGUUACAUUCCGCAUUAGGUUAUCCUAUAAAAAAAUUUGUACUGUAAUAAUUAAUAUAUUAUGCAUACAUUAACGUUAAUUUGUCGAUUCAUUUGCAGGCGUUUAUUGCGACACUAGUCGGGCAAAUAUAUACAAUGUCUUUUUUUUUUUGGACGAUUUAUAAAAUAGGGUCUGUAAAUUAUAACUACAUAUAUAUACAGUAUACAUAUAAAUUAAUAUAAUAGUAACGGGUUGCGGUGUGCGAGCGGAGGGCGGACCGCGUGUUCGAUUUCUGUCCGUGAUCAUCUUCACUAAUGUAAUAUAAUAUAAUAUAAUAGAUGCAAAUUAAAGUAAAUAAAAUAAAUCGUAUAAAUAUCUCUAUGAACGAAUUGAUAACAUUUAUAUUAUGUAUUCCAAACUAUAUAAAAAAAGGUAGCGAUGUUAAAGGUUUUAUAUUAUAUUAUGUAUGUAAAUGUACCCGGCGACUGUUGAAAGUUGGCGUGACAAUAAAACGUAGGCUUAGAGAUACGAUAAGAUUCUCGCGUUCGUCAUCUGUGACUCGGACAGUCACUUGACGUGCGCCGUCUACGUAACGAAUGCACGAUAAAAGACUUCUCUUAUUCCCUUCGUUGUAGUGAUGUGAAAGGUCGUUGUCGAUAAACGCAGCCCGAGCUUUUAUCGAUACCGGUGGUGUGAUGAUUUGUGAUGACGGCAUCAAGGGGAGCUUAGUCCAUGACCUCCGCGCGGUGCUCCCUGGGUAGCGCCAAAUGUGGACGUUGGUAUUCACAUUGAUAACACACAUGAAUCGUUUGUGGCACGCGCUCGUGAAUAGUGAUGCACUCUUACGAUGAUAUCGAAUGUCGACGCUAGUGCGUUGAGUUACUUGAGCGCUAUGCUUAGUUCAAUAUGACAUUGUCAAAUGUUAAUAUAUGUAUAAUAAAUAAAUGAUUUUAGACGAAUCGUAGAAACCGCAGACGCGAUUCACUUAGGGUAACUAGUUGUUAUUGUAACUUAUCGAUAAUUUCAACUGGAUGAAUUCCCGUGUAUAAAUCGCUAUAAUAUCGGAUUAAAAAAACGUUUGUACAUAUGUAAAUAUAGGGGAUGAUGAUGGGGGAGAGAGUUUGCGUCCUCCCGCACGCAUAAAAAAAACGGCUUCUAUAAAUACUAUAUAAAUAUUUGUGAUGUAAAAAGAUUUUUCAAAUUAUACAAAAAAAAAUUAUCAUAGAAAAAAUCACAAAAAAAAAUAUGAUUAAAUUGUUCGGAGAGGGCCUACCAGACCCGCGCCAUGUUCGAAGCGAUAGUUCUAGAUUUUUCUCACCCGAGAACAUGGCGCCGGGCCUCGAAUACAAUUAAAAUAUCGUUCUUCUAUAUGUAUAUGUUUAUCUUUUUUUUUUCUUUUUUUUUUGUUGUAAUAAAAAUUUUAUUGUUGCGUCCGCGUAUUCGUUUGUUGGUACUCUGUCAGAUAUGUGUAUAUGUAAAACGUGAUGAGCGUGUGUUGUUUGUUGUGCGCAUUUUACGUAUGAAAGUGUAUUUUUUUUUUUUGUAACGAUGUAAUUAUUUUUCGAAGUGUCACAACACUAGUUGUUUUUAAUUUCGAGUGUGGCGCCAUCUGAGGCGACUGUUGCGUCGUCUUAUUAUGUAACUUGAGUUUGUCCUCGAUUUUCAACGAAAAACGUACGGGAACUUUGCUCCUUAUAAGUUUUCCGUACGCAGGUUGUGGUCUUACGUAAUUCCAGUGCGUCCGCGCGCGCCUUGCCGCCGGGGGGCGCCACUGGGUACUAGCUAGAACUGUGGCUUACGCACAUUGCUAUAGCAUUUAGUACGGAUUUCGAUCAAGCGCGCACCUUGCCGCGCCCUGAUUGGUCAGCUCCUAUACGAAGAUAAGGUAUAUCGGUGCCUUGUUGAGACUACGCGAAUAACGGUCUUAAUCGAACCGGCGAUAAGGUUCGUAAUCGGCCGGCUUUCCUAGGCGAGCCCGUGUGGGAUUUGCAAGUAUCCGCUGUCGCGUGACGUCUGUCUUGACGAACACGGCUGUUUUCCUGUUACGCUAUUUGUAAUAAGUGUUUGAACGGGGCGGGCUUGCACCGAGAUCUCUGUAUGUGUGUGCAGCUCAUAAUUGUAUGUCUUGAUGAUGCUAAGGUGAUGUUUUAAGUGGCACAUGACUGUGAACAUUGAUUUUGGGUUUGCAUUUGUUGUACUUGUGCACCUACGAGGCUUAUAAUAUAUAAAAAAAGGAAAGUUUGUAAGCCGUCGAGUCUAAGGAAGCAUUUCAAAUUUGUUUGCCUUAAAUUUAAAAAAAAAUGAGCAUUUCAGUUUUCGAAUAACUAAAAAAAAAAAAACAAUUGUGACUCGAACCCAAAAUCAGUGCGUAAAUUUAACAAAAAAAAAAUGUGAGUCGCUUUAAUGGUUGAAACGACCAUUUAAUCUUAGAUAACUAGAGAUUGCCUUAUUACCCGUACGUCGGGCGUGUAUGAACGAUUGUUAUCGACGCGUGUGCUAAGCGUUGCGUUUUCAUUAUUAUAAAGAGAACAAAAAAAAAAUGAAUUAUUUUUCUUAAUCUUUUCGGGAGUUUUUUACGUAUGGCAACAUUGUUUUUAAAAAAAAAUCUAGAAAAAAGGCGGUAAAAAUGCAAUGAAUUUUAUUAUGUUGCCAUUCCUAUUAAUAUGAAUUCUUCAGUUUGGGUUUUUUUUUUAAACCAGAGCGUUUUGUUUUGCGUUAACGUUUUGCAGAAUUAACAAAGUCUCGUUGUAAUCUUCGAGCGGUUUAAUGUGCUCGGUAAACUCGCAAUAUACAUUUAAUAUUUUAUUUUAUAAAUCCAAUUUUAUCAUGAACUUUCCUGAAAUCAGAACCGGAAAGUAUGUUUCUUUUUUCCCCCUACAUUUUUACUGGUAGCCUAAGGGACUCACUGGCUCGACCUGAGAGAGUAUCCUAACGCUAGCCCUAGCAAGAGCAGUGCUUCGCAGAAUCUACUACCGGAUCGGAAUCGCGACCCACUGAGAAAAUCCGGCGAGAAACUCAGUGGGUUGAAAGUAUGCAUAAAUUUAAGUGAACAGUGAUAAUUAUGAACUGAGAAGCAUAAGAAUUUAUUUAGGAAGUUUUGGGUUUCAUAAUGAUUUGAGAAAAAAGUUGUGCAAUUUUGGGAAUAAAUAAUAAUAGAUUUCAAAAGUUUAAAUUAGAAAUGUUUUAAUAAAUAUUAUGUUUGUCUCUCUUACUCUAUCUAUUAAACCGCCUGAAGUCAACCAAAGUCACUAUGGCCGGCGUUCCCUUUCUUUUUUUGCCAAAUAAUCACAUUGGUCCACGCGCUUUGGACGUUAGCGAAAUUGAAUUUGUUUUCGUUCGCCAUUUUUUUAUAUUAUAUUAAUGAAAACGUGACGCCUUUUUGUGUAAUAUAAUAAAGACUGAAGGAAAAAAUGUGUGGAUGAAGCCGGAGUAUUAUGUAAGAUUGGAUUUUUUUUUAUUGUUAUUGUAAAAAAAAAUGUAUGAGCCUAAAUGCGUGCGCGCCAACGCGUGCUGUGUAGAUUGUGUGCGAUCCGUGUUUACUGGGACGAGUCGGGAUAGACGUUAAAAGAAAUUUGGUUAAAUCAUGUCCUAUGGCAAAUAUUAUCUUAAGUUGAAACAGAAGCCAAUAUAUACAUAAUAUAUAUAGAUAGAUUGAGGGUAAACGAAUUUUAACGCAAUAAUAACUACAAAUUUCAAAUUUAAAGAAAUAUACUCCCCAAGCAGAGUAACCCUCAUUUUGUUUAUUUCAUAAAUAGUUUAAGUCGUUUUGAAUACAAGAACUAAUUGUCUGAUCUCUAGAAUAUAUUUACUUGAACAAUAUUUAAAAAGAAAACUUGCGUACUCUAUAAAAUUUUGAUCCAUUAAAAUUCUGAAAGUAUUAAAUUCAGUUUGUCGAACUAUGACGGCUUUGAGAUGCACUGGAAAUCACUUUUAGUAAAUUUUAGGGAUCAGGCAAAUGACUCGACUGCCCGAACGCUAUCUCUCAACGUCAUCGCACACAUCAUAAAGAAUGUACAUAAAUGCUCAUCCCGGAUCCAGAACGUUAGAACAAUCUUCGUUAAAAUAUAAAAACAAUUAUAAACAAAUCCAUUAUUAUUUUCGUGAAUGUCGCGCCAUACGCGAUCCACUACAGCAAGUGCCAAAAAUAAAACUGUUCUGGCACUUUUCGAAGGACCGUCCUCUCAUUGGUUCGCGCGACAGCGGCACGACGCGCUCACGACAACGUCACGACACGACAAGACAACGAAUGUUUGGUUUCUAUUGUGUUCGCUGUAACGUCCACCAAUGAGGUUCGGUCGGUUUUGUUGAACGACAUUUAAGACCUGUCGUUAUUUUUCAAUAAAAAGUUUAAAAAAAAUGUGUUUUGAACACAACA